rnacentral:snoRNA from 1 species
UGAUGACAAAUCUCCGGAAUCUCUGUAUUUCAUUGAUGAAACAUUUGAACCCCUUAUCUGAUGACUGCUUUUUAAAUCAAA